rnacentral:lncRNA from 1 species
CAAAAUUUAGGAUACUAAUAUCUCAUAUAAGAAAACUACAAGAACAAAACAGCGGGGAGCAUAACAUCUAACAAAUCAAGCCUCAACUCUCUCAGGUGGUGCUGCCUCCUCAGCGGCGUAGACAAUAACCUUAUUGGCAGGCUUUGCCAAGAUAUCAAAGUACUCUUGGAAUGGAGAUUUUGUGAAGCGAGUCUCUUUCCAAAAGUCUGGAGUGAGGAACCCAUAAGUCUUCAUUAAACAAUCGAAGGUAGCCUGCAUACAUAAUGAGUGAUAUUAGACUUGAACACAAUUAGUACACCACCUGCAGAUAUAUUAUAAACGAGCAACAAAGAACCAAGUGGAGCUGAUUCUAACAUUCAACCAGAGAGGUCAAUGCUGGGAAAGCAAAGAAUGGAAUGCCUGUUCUGAAACAAAGAUUUUAUACUAUAUAAACACCAUCACCCACGCUGUGGAUAGAAAUAACAGUUGGUUACAGAAAAAACUUCAAUUAUAUUGCAGUCCCUUCUUUAAAAGAAGGAUGCAAUAGAGUCAUAUUAUAGCUUUCUAGGAACAAAGGGCUAACAUCAAGCAUUGCAGCAUCCACAUUCAAGAAUUAAACUUAACCUAACUAGAAAGAAAAACACACAAGUAUAGAACUAAUAAUGGCACAGACUCCUGUCCCACAAUUUGACUUGCUUAACACUGCAUUCAAUAACUACACACACUGUCCGAAUUUAACUGAUACUCUCAAUAUAUCUACCAUUUAGGAACUAACCUAAACAACUUUGUUUUGGACAAUGACCAUAUUUGAAACUAUAAAAUUCGCAAUUGUUACUAUAUCUGUUAUACAAUAAGGACACAAAAAGCAUGGAUCAGAUUGUAUUGGUUCAAAGCACAAGACAACAUUUCUAUCUCAGAUGGUAUAUAUAUACAAAGAUCAUAUCUAUUUACAACAUGUUUCACUGGAUCAGACUACCCGGUCUCCUAGAUGCCUUUACAUGUAGUCAUCUCCAUAUUAACUAUUUCAAAUAUAUUUAAAUCAAAAUGUACAGUUGGUUAAUUCUUUUGUUCAAUGUUGUUUGGUACACCAGAUGGGAUAAGUAGGGAUAUUUAUUAUCCGGUGUAGCAACCAACCAUAAAUAUAAUGUUAUACACAUCACUUCUUAAGAUGUGAUAUCAGUAGAUAUAGUAAGCAUAUAAUCAUGUAAUUAUGGAUACCACAACAGAUUAGAACAUGGUAAUAGAACCAACACACAAUCAUAAAAGAUCGAACCUUAACGAAGUUUCCAAGGGUUUUGGUGGAUCCACGAGAAGAGGUAAAGACAUCUUCAAUACCAGCAAACUGAAGAACCUUCUUAGGAACACGAGCAGCAACAAUACCAGCACCACGAGGAGCAGGGACCAUCCUCACAGUAACAGAACCACAUUUCCCAGUAACCUUACAAGGCACUGUGUGUGGCUUCCCAAUCUUAUUCCCCCAAUAACCUCUCCUCACUGGAAUCACUGACAACUUCGCCAAUAUAAUCGCUCCACGUAUAGCAGUAGCCACUUCCUUCGAGCACUUAACACCCAGUCCAACGUGACCAUUACCAUCACCGACAACAACAAAGGCCUUGAACCGGGUUCUCUGACCGGCACGUGUCUGCUUCUGAACCGGCAUGAUUUUCAUCACUUCGUCUUUGAGUGAUGGUCCGAUGAGGUUAUCGAUGAUUUGAUACUCCUUAAUUGGGAGUGAGUGAAGGUAGAUUUGCUCCAAUGACUUGAUCUUCCCAUCUUUAACCAGCCUUCCUAGCUUUGUCACGGGUACCCAUUUCUCCUCCUCUGUAUCACGGCGGGGACGACGACCCCCACGGCCCCUUCCGCCGCGGUCGCUGCCUCUUCCACCCCUUC